rnacentral:rRNA from 1 species
GACGAACGCUGGCGGCGUGCCUAAUACAUGCCAGUAGAACGCACAGUUUAUACCGUAGCUUGCUACACCAUAGACUGUGAGUUGCGAACGGGUGAGUAACGCGUAGGUAACCUGCCUGGUAGCGGGGGAUAACUAUUGGAAACGAUAGCUAAUACCGCAUAAUAUUGAUUAUUGCAUGAUAAUUGAUUGAAAGAUGCUAUUGCAUCACUACCAGAUGGACCUGCGUUGUAUUAGCUAGUAGGUGAGGUAACGGCUCACCUAGGCGACGAUACAUAGCCGACCUGAGAGGGUGAUCGGCCACACUGGGACUGAGACACGGCCCAGACGCCUACGGGAGGCAGCAGUAGGGAAUCUUCGGCGAUGGACGAAAGUCUGACCGAGCAACGCCGCGUGAGUGAAGAAGGGUUUCGGAUAGUAAAGCUCUGUUGUAAGAGAAGAACGGGGGUGAGAGUGGAAAGUUCACACUGUGACGGUAUCUUACCAGAAAGGGACGGCUAACUACGUG